rnacentral:rRNA from 1 species
AAUCUUGGACAAUGGGCGCAAGCCUGAUCCAGCGACGCCGCGUGGGUGAUGAAGGCCUUCGGGUUGUAAAGCCCUUUUGCCGGGGACGAUGAUGACGGUACCCGGCGAAUAAGCACCGGCUAACUCCGUGCCAGCAGCCGCGGUAAGACGGAGGGUGCUAGCGUUGUUCGGAAUUACUGGGCGUAAAGGGCGCGUAGGCGGCCCUUGGAGUCGGAUGUGAAAGCCCGGGGCUCAACCCCGGAACGGCAUCCGAUACUCUUGGGCUCGAGACCGGGAGAGGAGGGUGGAAUACCCAGUGUAGAGGUGAAAUUCGUAGAUAUUGGGUGGAACACCGGUGGCGAAAGCGGCUCUCUGGCCCGGUUCUGACGCUGAGGCGCGAAAGCGUGGGGAGCAAAC